GGGAACGUACCUUUUGGUUCGGAACAACACAGGGAAACUUGUGCUAAUACCGGAUAAGCCCUUACGGGGAAAGAUUUAUCGCCGAAAGAUCGGCCCGCGUCUGAUUAGCUAGUUGGUAGGGUAACGGCCUACCAAGGCGACGAUCAGUAGCUGGUCUGAGAGGAUGAUCAGCCGCAUUGGGACUGAGACACGGCCCAAACUCCUACGGGAGGCAGCAGUGGGGAAUAUUGGACAAUGGGGGCAACCCUGAUCCAGCCAUGCCGCGUGAGUGAUGAAGGCCCUAGGGUUGUAAAGCUCUUUUGUGCGGGAAGAUAAUGACGGUACCGCAAGAAUAAGCCCCGGCUAACUUCGUGCCAGCAGCCGCGGUAAUACGAAGGGGGCUAGCGUUGCUCGGAAUCACUGGGCGUAAAGGGUGCGUAGGCGGGUCUUUAAGUCAGGGGUGAAAUCCUGGAGCUCAACUCCAGAACUGCCUUUGAUACUGAAGAUCUUGAGUUCGGGAGAGGUGAGUGGAACUGCGAGU
rnacentral:rRNA from 1 species